UCAAAGAAAGGAACUAUCAAAAUUCAUUAAUGGAGGAGGAGUUGAUUGUUGAAUCAUGCAUUUGCAUACCAUCAACUGUUGAAUCAUUCAUUCUCAAACCAUCAAAGGAAGUUAUCAUUAACCCUCCACCAAGAGACGUAGUGAUGGAACGUAACUGAGUAGGAGGGGUGCAGGGUGAGCAACCAGGCCGGUUUUCCUCCUUUGUUUAGCUGUAUGGAAGUACUGUAAGGUGUAGAUGGAGGUUGGGGAGAUGAGGAAUGCAGAAAACAUAUAUUAUGUAAAGAAAAGUAAUUAGUUAUGUAGAUAGAUGUGUAUGUGGUCAAUAAGAUGCACAUUUGAUUUUGGGCACCAGAAGUUUGCUGCUUUUUAAGUAUGUAACUCAAAUUUUGGAUAUAAAUGUAACGUGAUGCUCAUCUGCUUUACAA